rnacentral:tRNA from 1 species
GGUAGAAUGGCUGAGUACUAAGCGGUGGUUUGUAGCCCCAAAGACAGAGGUUUGAGUCCUCUUUCUACCA